AGGCCUCAUUCUCUUCUCCUGUCGCAGCAGCUGCAAGGGCUGGGAGAAGACGGCGGAAGGCAGGAGGGAAAGGGAGGAGAGGUUAGCAGGCUAAACAAUUACACGUUUGAUUCCAACGCGUCUGAUUGCCAACAUCUGCCUCUUCCCCCCGUCCCCCGCAAGGCUGCUAAUGGUUGCCGGGGGGUCAAAGGGAGCACUUAAUGGGUUGUCAAGGGGGAAAUGGUGACCUGCGCAUCCAACAGAGUGGAUCACCUUUCACGGAGCAGCGCUGCCAGCGGGCCGCUUGCUGGGGGUUGCCGACGUCCUUGCUGGAUCCAAUUAAGGCCAAUCUCCAGGAAGACGUAGGGAAAGUUAUGCAAGAAAGAGCCAGGAAACGGCCGCGGGCUGUCGCUCCAGAUUACGGUGCGCGCUUCAACCAGGAGCUGGCCAGGAUUAUCGCAGCUUGAAGAAGCUUACGCGAAACAAGGGUUCGGUAGGACCUUGUCCUUGGAAGUUUGGAUUAUUGGCUGCAUCUUUGGACAGACAUUAAUCGUCUGGAGUACUACACCAGGAUUCCAUGGAAUGUAUUGAAAAUUUUACCACAAAAGGAAAAAAGGGCUCUUGGUGUCAUUGCUUCCGGUUUGUACUAAGGACAGAAUGUUAAGGUUGCUUUGGUGUAAUUUAUGAUGGUGAAAUUUAUAUAUGAGCGUGCUAAUUUAUGUUGACUUUGUAUAAUUUAAUAAUAGAAGCUGGUUUUCACGG